rnacentral:rRNA from 2 species
ACAACACCUAGGAGGAUCCUGAGUACGGCGGAACACGAGAAAUUCCGUCGGAAUCCGCGGGGACCAUCCCGCAAGGCUAAAUACUCCCUAGUGACCGAUAGUGAACCAGUACCGUGAGGGAAAGGUGAAAAGCACCCCGGAAGGGGAGUGAAAUAGAUCCUGAAACCGUGUGCCUACAACAAGUCAAAGCUCGUUAAUGAGUGAUGGCGUGCCUUUUGUAGAAUGAACCGGCGAGUUACGAUUGCAUGCGAGGUUAAGUCGAAGAGACGGAGCCGCAGCGAAAGCGAGUCUGAAUAGGGCGAAUGAGUAUGUAGUCGUAGACCCGAAACCAUGUGAUCUACCCAUGUCCAGGUUGAAGGUGCGGUAAAACGCACUGGAGGACCGAACCCACGUACGUUGAAAAGUGCGGGGAUGAGGUGUGGGUAGCGGAGAAAUUCCAAACGAACUUGGAGAUAGCUGGUUCUCUCCGAAAUAGCUUUAGGGCUAGCCUCGGAAUUGAGAAUGAUGGAGGUAGAGCACUGUUUGGACUAGGGGCCCAUCUCGGGUUACCGAAUUCAGAUAAACUCCGAAUGCCAUUCAUUUAUAUCCGGGAGUCAGACUGCGAGUGAUAAGAUCCGUAGUCGAAAGGGAAACAGCCCAGACCACCAGCUAAGGUCCCAAAAUAUAUGUUAAGUGGAAAAGGAUGUGGGGUUGCACAGACAACUAGGAUGUUGGCUUAGAAGCAGCCACCAUUUAAAGAGUGCGUAAUAGCUCACUAGUCGAGUGACCCUGCGCCGAAAAUGUACCGGGGCUAAACAUAUUACCGAAGCUGUGGACUACACCAUUAGGUGUAGUGGUAGGAGAGCGUUCUAAGGGCGUUGAAGGUCGAUCGUGAGGACGGCUGGAGCGCUUAGAAGUGAGAAUGCCGGUAUGAGUAGCGAAAGACAGGUGAGAAUCCUGUCCACCGUAUGACUAAGGUUUCCUGGGGAAGGCUCGUCCGCCCAGGGUUAGUCGGGACCUAAGC